rnacentral:rRNA from 1 species
CCUACGGGAGGCAGCAGUGGGGAAUAUUGCGCAAUGGGCGAAAGCCUGACGCAGCGACGCCGCGUGAGGGAUGAAGGUCUUCGGAUCGUAAACCUCUGUCAGCAGGGAAGAACGGUCACUGUGCUAAUCAGCAGUGAAUUGACGGUACCUGCAAAGGAAGCACCGGCUAACUCCGUGCCAGCAGCCGCGGUAAUACGGAGGGUGCGAGCGUUAAUCGGAAUUACUGGGCGUAAAGCGCUCGUAGGCGGUAUGUCAAGGCAAGGGUGAAAUCCCCGCGCUCAACGUGGGAACUGCCUUUGAAACUGGCAAACUGGAGUUGGUGAGAGGAUAGUGGAAUUCCAGGUGUAGGAGUGAAAGACGUAGAUAUCUGGAGGAACAUCAGUGGCGAAGGCGACUAUAUGGAACAUAACUGACGCUGAGGAGCGAAAGCGUGGGUAGCAAACAGGAUUAGAUACCCUAGUAGUC